CGAAAGCUUUGCUAAUACCGCAUACGAUCUACGGAUGAAAGCACCUUGACCUUCGGGCCUUGCGCUAUCAGAUGAGCCUAGGUCGGAUUAGCUAGUUGGUGAGGUAAUGGCUCACCAAGGCUACGAUCCGUAACUGGUCUGAGAGGAUGAUCAGUCACACUGGAACUGAGACACGGUCCAGACUCCUACGGGAGGCAGCAGUGGGGAAUAUUGGACAAUGGGCGAAAGCCUGAUCCAGCCAUGCCGCGUGUGUGAAGAAGGUCUUCGGAUUGUAAAGCACUUUAAGUUGGGAGGAAGGGCAUUAACCUAAUACGUUAGUGUUUUGACGUUACCGACAGAAUAAGCACCGGCUAACUCUGUGCCAGCAGCCGCGGUAAUACAGAGGGUGCAAGCGUUAAUCGGAAUUACUGGGCGUAAAGGGAGCGUAGGUGGCUCUAUAGGUCAGAUGUGAAAUCCCCGGGCUUAACCUGGGAACUGCAUCUGAAACUGCAGAGCUAGAGUAUGUGAGAGGAAGGUAGAAUUCCAGGUGUAGCGGUGAAAUGCGUAGAGAUCUGGAGGAAUACCGAUGGCGAAAGCAGCCUUCUGGCAUAAUACUGACACUGAGGCUCGAAAGCNGUGGGNUAGCAAACAGGAUUAGAUACCCUGGUAGUCCACGCCGUAAAACGAUGUCUACUAGUCNNGUUGGGUCCCUUGAGGACUUAGUGACGCAGCUUAACGCAAUUAAGUAGACCGCCUGGGGNAGUACGGCCGCAAGGUUAAAACUCAAAUGAAUUGACGGGGGCCCGNCACAAGCGGUGGANGCAUGUGGUUUAAUUCGANUGCNAACGCGAAGAANCCUUACCUGGNUCNUUNGACNAUAUCUAGNAAUCCUGNCAGAGNAUGCGGGANGUNGCCUUNCGGGANAUUNANGAAUACAGGUGCUGCAUGGCUGUCGUCAGCUCGUGUCGUGAGAUGUUGGGUUAAGUCCCGCAACGAGCGCAACCCUUGUCCUUAGUUACCAGCGGGUUAAGCCGGGAACUCUAAGGAUACUGCCAGUGACAAACUGGAGGAAGGCGGGGACGACGUCAAGUCAUCAUGGCCCUUACGACCAGGGCUACACACGUGCUACAAUGGUAGGUACAGAGGGCAGCUACACAGCGAUGUGAUGCAAAAUCUCAAAAAAGCCUAUCGUAGUCCAGAUUGGAGUCUGCAACUUC
rnacentral:rRNA from 1 species